GAUCCCUUGCUGCGCGCGCGAGUUUCCCGAUAGGAGUGGUCCAACAAUUGGAAAAUAGUUUUCUCAAGUCUAUAUUUUGAUUUUCCGAUUUUUCCUUUAUCCUUUAUGGUAAAAUUUAUUGCACUCCGGAGCGCUCUAGUGUCAAAAGAGGCUAAUGCAUUCCGGAGAUCUCUAGCGUCUAUUGUGGCUGUUGCACUCUCACAAGUAGCAGUGAGAGAAAACCGCCUCCCGAAAAAGUAAUAAUGUGAUAGUAGAGAGGGCUGUAACCGACUAACCGCGACUAACCGUACGUUCACCAGUGAACUUUCCAAGUUGGAAGGACAGAUCAAUUUGGACAUCAUCGUGCAGACAGGAACCAAAUGUUCAUAAUCAAUGUCAAGGAAUCAAGGAAAUCAUCACUGACUUGCUGAGGACAAUUAUUAGAGACCCUGAAAAGCCCAACACGUUAGAAGACCUGUUGGUUAUUACAGAUGAAUCUGUUCAAGUAAAACCAUUUGAGGAAAAUGGUUACUUGGUUAGAAUAGAUUUCAAUCCUGCAGUUCCUCAUUGUUCACUUGCCAGCCUUAUUGGCCUCUGCCUGAGAGGCAAGAUUUAGAAAAAUGUGAUGGAAAGGAUCAGAUUGGACAUAGUUAUUGCAGAGGGCACAGAAGAAGAGAGUAAGCCCUAAUACCAUAUUUAAAUGUUCAAAAAAGCUUUCAUAAAAUAUUCUUUUACUUUAUUCCCAUCCAGUUAAUAAACAAAUCAACGAUAAGGAAAGAGUCGCCGCCGCCUUAGAGAAUCCCAACUUAAAAGAAAUGUUCGAUAGUUGCAUAAAAGAUGAAGAAGAAAAAUUUUGUUAAGAAAAAAAAAUAAAAGACAAUAAAUUUCCUCAGA